AGAAGGUUGAUGUAAGAGUACCAAGGUAUCAAGAGCAUGAGAUCACUCAUGUCAGUGUUGAGUACCUGCAAGAGUUCCUUUAUUUCCCUUUUGCUCUCUCUCUCUCUACAGAAGGCACCGGCCUAUAUAUCACUCCUCCCUGCUUGCUCUCUCACCUCCUCCAGCUGAAAGGGAAAGAGAAGAGAUAGGGGGAGAGAGAGAGAGAGAGGGAGAGGGAGGGAGACCAGCUAGCAGGCCAAUUAGUAAAGUCUUUUAGAGAGAGAAAGAGGGAUGAAAAAGGGCAGUGGAGGAGGGAUACCCACCUCCCACUUCCAAUAUUAUCCUCUCACAACCCCCACACAACUUUUCCCCCACUUCCCCUUUUUUAUUUUUUUUCUCUCUAGAUUUCUAGCUAGCUACAAGAUUUUUCUCCCUCUCUCCCUUACUUUCUCUCUCAUCUGCCAAUGAAAGCAAUUUAGGUGUGCACACCCAUCUGUACAGUUUUGGCCUUGGCUGACAAGUUUGAGCACACAACACAAUCAGAAAUAAUGGACUGGUGUGUACAAGUAGGAGUAAUUAAUUGUGCACUCAAAUAUUAACCGCGGAUUAAUUUUGCGUACUGUUACAAACUCAAUCAACACUAAUAUUUGAUUGCAAAUAGAUACAGUUUUAUUAGAAAUUAACUACGGUGGCCUCAUCCUCAGUUUUUCGACAGAAGAUUGUACAAAAAGAAAGAAAUUUUUAUUUUCCGCAAGCACAAGGUUGUAUCUAUAUUAUACAUAGGAGAUAUUUUGACGAAUAAACAAGUAGUAGUGCCAUACAAGAAAUCAUUUCAAAGAAACCAUUAUUGAACCAACUGAAUUGAGGAGUGUUUUCCAUAGGAAAGGUACCACACAAUGUUUUGAACUUUGAAAGUCCAUGUGAUUUGACACACUUUUUUCUCCUCAUCAUUAGUUGCAGAGUUGUGCAGAGAGAGAGAGAGCCGCCAUAGUACUACUCUGAGAGAGAGAGAGAGAGAGAGAGAGAGGGGGGGGGGGGUUUGAUAGGGAUUUAUAUGUCAGGGUGUGUGUACUAUUGGCACAAGGUGUGUACGUAGGCCAUAGGGCACAUGAAUUGAGAUAGAUAUGGUGAGAGAUGGAUGACAGACGGUCUGCCAAUGUACACUGACCUCCUGCAUGCCCUGACUGGCACAGCUGCUUGUGUGUGUGUCAGAAGAACUAGGAAAUGUCCACGUCUAGGCCUUUGCUAUCUCACUUUUUUUCCUUUGCCUUUUGGAACCUGUCUAGGUCACAAUUUUAAUACACUACUUGUACUAUACAUAUACUUGUAUGUGUGUGUGUGUGAGAGAGAGAGCUAUGCUUGUGUUCCUUUUGCUUUUUCCCUUUUUGCCCUCUCACUCUCCAAAGCCCAAUCUUCUGGGCAUGUAUUGACUGUCUUUGAUGCGUGGCCUUUUGUUUGUUAGGGUAUUUGUUUAUGCACUAGUCUAUUUCACAUCUUAAUCUUCCUGCUAAGUGAAGCUAGCAUCAUGCAUGAUAGUCUUGUCUCUGCACUAGUGGUUAAGAUAUUAGUUUGGGUUUUUUCUCUUAUGUCAGGUGAUGGAAGGCUUCAGAGGUAAAGCGAUUGAAAGCUCAGGAAUCCAAAACCAGUUGCCUACAUCCAGGAAUUGAUUGUUAUUCCAGGAAGCUGGUAUAUUCAUUUUCAGCUAGCACAUCAACAAACUUUGCAAUGCAAAAUGACAUUUUAUUUGACAUUAUAUUAUUUCUCAGCUGUUCACUUGAUUACAAUCAAUAGUUCUAGAUAUCUAUUUGUAUGAGUGAUAAUGGGAAAUAUGUUUUGACAAA
rnacentral:lncRNA from 1 species